UCCCUUGUUGUGGUAACUAACUUUGCUUAUUUACAGAUUAACCUUUACAACUUAUUCUAGUUAAAUUUGACCUUGUUUGACAUUUGUCAUCAGUAAAAAACCCCUAAAUGUCAUUCUUUUAUCCUGACAUUUGGUGUCUUUUCCUUCUGAGUGACCAAAAAUAUAAACAAUUUGAAAUACAAAUACAAAUUUUUCUAUCUAUUCAGAUACAAAAAUUUGACCCACCAGUGUGGGAAGACCUCAACACUGCCAUGAGAAAUGAACUCAAAGAACUUUCGUCCUAUAAUUCUCAUUCACCAAAAUACGUCUUUCUAUCCAUAACCUAACAUUCAUAUACUCAGAAGACAGAGUUCAGAAUCUUGUUCAAGAAUGCUUUAAUGUCCAGACCAGAGAAGCCAGUGAUCGAACCACCGACCUUCUGAUGGGUAGAUAACCUGCUCUACCUCCUGAGGCAGAGCCGCCCAAACAUGAGAACAGUCUGCGUUCUCAAAUCUCUGAGCACAGUUUCCUGCAGGGACAGACACACGCUGGUCUUUGAAGGAUAAUGAGGGAAUCUCCAUCCCAUCAUCUUCCACUCAUCUAAUUCUGGGUUGCAGUGGGGCUGGAGCCUAUCCCAGCUGUCACAGUACACCCUGGACAGGUCACUAAUCAGUCGCAGGGCCUUAGUUAAAGCGCGACUUGUAGUUAAAUGCUCUUUGAGUGGUAUGACUAAAAAAAGGACUACAUGAAUAUGAGUACAUUACAAUUGCACCUACAAUGUAACAAAAUAAAAACAAAUUAGAAUAGCUCUGAAUGCACAUAAUAGCUUGGAAUAAGUAAGAUUUGUGUUCUAAGUGUUAAUUAAUUAUUUAUUAUUUUUAAAGAUAUAGCAGAGUGGACAGUGUUUAAUGCCUGUAAUGGUUAUACAUGAUUAUAUAUGAUAAAUCCCAACAGUUCUAGUUCUACAUUCAAUACAAUAUAAUUCAGUCAUUAUAGCUUUUUGUUUUCAUGUCUUGGGUAACACAGAAGAAAAACAAGAGUUGUACAUGUCAGGGGUUGUGUAGCGGGGACGAUCUGAUAUCGUCGUGUUGGCGUUGUUCCCACAUCAUCAUAAUUAAUGUUCUUCCAGGGUCCACAUUACAAGUAACCAAUCACCUUCUUGUGACGUCAUACUUUUGCGACUUCGCCUUAAAAAAACAAAUGUUCUUCGAGAAACCGCCUUUUGUCCGCUGAUCCAGCAAUUUCAAUUCCUCUCAAGAUACUUUUCUUUAAUAAACGAAAUAGACGAUAUAAUUAGAAGAAGUGUCCUGAAUGACGAAAAAAAAAGAACUGGAAAAGAUACACAACUUUGUGUGCAUGUGUCACAAUGCCAGGAGGACCCAUUCAGUGUUGUGUUAGAAAAAUUGAACUCAUUAACCCUUCAUGGACAUUAUAAAUGUUUAAAUGUGGCCUCAGGUAAAGACAGGAAAAGAGACUAUUACAAAUUCAACUGCAUCAGAGCUGGAAAAAAAAGUCGAAACAGCUACAGAGCAGUGGGCUGUAAGGCCUAUGUUUCAUUUAAAGUACUCAAAUGUUGGAAAGACCACACAGUCAUCGUGCAGCUUACAUAUGAUAAGCAUGAUGGGCAUGAUCCUUCGGACCCAAAAGACGCACAUUUCAACAAUAUUUCCAGUGAUUUGAGGAGGAAGAUUGAGGAACUGCUUUCCCUUGGAACUAAGCCAGCCAUCAUACUAACCGAAUGUCAUAAAUGGGCCAAAGAACAUGGACACAGAGAUCUUCACAACAGAGAGCAUUUUGUCACACCACAUGACAUUGACAGUGUUAGAACCUGCAUGAUGAGGAAGAAGCACUUUAACUGUAGAGACAGUCAAAGUGUACAUACCUUACUUAAUGGAAAACAUCAAGAACAUGUUCUCUUCUAUCAACCAUACACAUCUGAUCAAGAACUAAUGAUUGUUUUGCAGACACCUGUAAUGAAAUCAAACAUGGAGAACUAUGCAAAACAGUUAGUAUUUGUUGACACCACGCAUUGUGUUAACCAGUAUUCAUUUCCCUUAUUCACACUUGUUGUAAGAGAUGAUCAUGGGCGUGGAGUCCCUGUGGCCUAUGCUAUUGUCAGCAACGAAAGUCAGAAAACCCUGGAAAUCGUUCUUGGAAUAGUUUGUGAGCAUUUACCAACUUCCCCGAGAGCAUUUAUGGUUGACAAAGACUUUGCGGAAAUAAAUGCUUUGCAGAAGGUUUUUCCAGAGUCAGCUAUCCUUCUAUGCUGGUGCCAUGUCUUGCAGGCUGCUAAUCGAUGGCUUUCAAAAUCUGAGUCUGGGGUCCAUGGGCUUUCUAACACCCAAAAGAGAAAUGAAAUCAUUUCUUUCUUUUGUAAGCUGAAAGCUUGCACAUCUUGUGGUAUGUUGGAGCAGCGGUUUAUCGGCAGCUGAGAGGAAGAGGUUGGAUAAAC